UUAAAUUCGGGAAAUAUAGAUGUCCCGAUUUUUCAUAUUUGUACCGACGAAAUCCCGAUUUUCAGUGUUUUCUUUAUGAAUUUAACAAGAGUCUUCAUGUACCCUAGCAAAACAAAAAAAAAGCAAUUUUUU